CCAGCUCCAAUAGCGUAUAUUUAAGUUGUUGCAGUUAAAAAGCUCGUAGUUGGAUUUUGGGUUGGAGAAGUCGGUCUGCCGACAGGUUGAACUGUCUCCUCCAACCUUCUUGCCGGGGACGCAUCCUGUCCUUCACUGGUUGGGGUGCGGAGUCGGCGAUGUUACUUUGAAAAAAUUAGAGUGUUCAAAGCAGGCCUAUGCUCUGAAUACAUUAGCAUGGAAUAACGCUAUAGGACUCUGGUCCUAUUGUGUUGGUCUUCGGGACCGGAGUAAUGAUUAAUAGGGACAGUUGGGGGCAUUCGUAUUUCAUUGUCAGAGGUGAAAUUCUUGGAUUUAUGAAAGACGAACUACUGCGAAAGCAUUUGCCAAGGAUGUUUUCA
rnacentral:rRNA from 1 species